UGGAGUUGACGGGUGAAUAAUAAAAG
rnacentral:piRNA from 1 species